GUUCCAAAGAAACGCAGAGCUAGACCCUGAGAAAAGGCUGUACCCUGGAGGGAAGUUCUUUGAUCCACUAGGUCUAGCCUCAGAUCCAGAGAAGAAGGCGACUCUUCAAUUGGCAGAGAUCAAGCACGCACGUCUUGCCAUGGUUGCCUUCCUAGGAUUUGCUGUCCAAGCUGCUGUUACUGGAAAAGGUCCUCUCAACAACUGGGCUACUCACUUGAGUGACCCUCUGC
rnacentral:misc_RNA from 1 species